GAUCAGAGGCUAUGCCGUCUAGCGUCAGGAAAAAGAAACGUUUAUCAGUAAUAACAUGAAAAAAAAAUCCGCUCUAGCUUGUUGACACACUUAAUUGAAAUAAGUCAAUAACUAACAAUAAAAGGCAAAUAUAUUUGAUACUCACGUAAUAUUCUCCCCUCCAAAUUUAUAUCUCGUCUUCAGUCUUCACCAAAAAAAGCCACCACCGCAGCACAUCACAAAACAACAGACGAAAUCCCCAAGAUGAUAAUGGACGUCAGUCCAACUUUUACAAUGAGGAGAAGGAAGAGCUCUUGACAUUCGUUUGUGCCUUGUGUAUGGCAUGUGUUAGUGAUUCAGACGUUUUAGCACCCGGGCAACAGCUCUUGGACAGUGGAUUGCUGAUAGGAAAAAUACGAGUUGGUAACUGUUAUUCAGAAUAUUUUUCUAUUUGUUUUGGUUUACUACAAGGUAAAGCAAAUGAUAAGUCAAUCACAAAACGGUGAAGAUGAAAAAGGCCUUUCCACACUAUCCAGUCCCACAACAGCAGCAUGUUUCUGGCUCAUUCGAUCCUCACUCUAGGACUUUACCUAAAAGGGAAUUAUCCUACUAGGAAACUUGGUGCAGAAGUAGUUGAUUGACAAUUCUGGAUGUGACAUGAGGGUUUUGAUGUUUAAAUGAUGUUCAAGUUGUUAAUGGAGAUGCCAAUGAGGAGACGCUGAUAAGUGUGCUUGAAGCUGACUGGCCUUGAUGGUUGGUGGUGGUGCUUGUUCAUCUGUCAUGUCACAUUCAUGCAGCAUACGAUGUAGGUAAUCUGUUCCUACAUGAUUUUGGGGUGAACCUAUCGACAUUUGUCGUAUCCUAAUCUUUCCGCGCCCAACAAUUGCGGUUGGGUAUAUUAUAUUUCUAAAAUUGUGGGUGUUGUGAUCGUUCAAUUUUAAUGAUUACUUAAGUGCAGGUGGUUAUGUUUACUUAAUAUAGCGGGGAGGAAAAGAUAUGCACUUAUAAAAUAUAAAUAUAAAAAAUAAAUGAAAAAAAGGAUUUCCCCACAAAGAUUAAAAAGUUGUGGAUCGGUUAUUACGGGAGUUAUUAUUCAUAGGAGGGUUAGAC